rnacentral:misc_RNA from 1 species
GAUGAAGAACGUAGUGAAAUGCGAUAAGUAAUGUGAAUUGCAGAAUUCAGUGAAUCAUCGAAUCUUUGAACGCACAUUGCGCCCGCCAGUAUUCUGGCGGGCAUGCCUGUUCGAGCGUCAUUUCAACCCUCAGGCCCCCAGUGCCUGGUGUUGGGGAUCGGCCCAGCCUUCCUGUAAGGCCGCCGGCCCCGAAAUCUAGUGGCGGUCUCGCUGUAGUCCUCCUCUGCGUAGUAGCACAACCUCGCAGUUGGAACGCGGCGGUGGCCAUGCCGUUAAACACCCCACUUCUGAAAGUUGACCUCGGAUCAGGUAGGAAUACCCGCUGAACUUAAGCAUACCAAUAAGCGGAGGA